rnacentral:rRNA from 1 species
GACGAACGCUGGCGGCGUGCUUUAUACAUGCAAGUCGAACGAUGAAGUUACUUCGGUAAUGGAUUAGUGGCGAACGGGUGAGGAACACGUGAAGAAUCUGCCCCUCAUUUUGGGAUAACUUCGGGAAACCGAGGCUAAUACCGAAUAUUGAAACAUAAGUGGCAUCACUGAGUUUUGAAAGUUUUUCGAUGAGGGAUGACUUCGCGGCCUAUCAGCUAGUUGGUGAGGUAACGGCUCACCAAGGCAACGA